rnacentral:rRNA from 1 species
UACGGAGGGUGCGAGCGUUGUCCGGAAUCACUGGGCGUAAAGGGCGCGUAGGCGGCCUGAUAAGUAGGGGGUGAAAUCCUGCGGCUUAACCGCAGGGCUGCCUUCUAAACUGUCAGGCUAGAGUACGGUAGAGGCAGAUGGAAUUCCCGGUGUAGCGGUGGAAUGCGUAGAGAUCGGGAAGAACAUCAGUGGCGAAGGCGGUCUGCUGGGCCGUUGCUGACGCUGAGGCGCGACAGCGUGGGGAGCAAACAGG